AAGACUAUAGACCUGCGGAGUACCUGCGGAAGGAUCAUUACCGAGUUUACAACUCCCAAACCCCCUGUGAACUUAUACCAUUACUGUUGCUUCGGCGGGUUAUUGCCCCGGGGAAGGACAGGCUGCCGCAAGGUGCCCUGCCGCCCCCCCGGAAACAGGCGCCCGCCGGGGGACUUAAACUCUAUAUUUUUUUCUUGUUUUAGUGUAUACUGUCUGAGUAAAAAAACAUAAUGAGUCAAA
rnacentral:misc_RNA from 1 species